AUACGGAGGAUCCGAGCGUUAUCCGGAUUUAUUGGGUUUAAAGGGUGCGCAGGCGGGAGAUUAAGUCGGCGGGGAAAUUUUGCAGCUCAACUGUAAAAGUGCCUUCGAAACUGGUUUUCUUUAGUGUAGAUGAAGGAGGCGGAAUUUGUGGUGUAGCGGGUAAAUGCAUAGAUAUCACGAGGAACUCCGAUUGCGCAGGCAGCUUACUAAACUACUACUGACGCUCAGGCACGAAGGCGUGGGGAUCAAACAGGAUUAGAUACCCUGGUAGUCCACGCAGUAAACGAUGAUUACUAGCUGUUUGCGAUACAAUGUAAGCGGCUGAGCGAAAGCGUUAAGUAAUCCACCUGGGGAGUACGGUCGCAAGAAUGAAACUCAAAGGAAUUGACGGGG
rnacentral:rRNA from 1 species